AACGUAGGGGACAAGCGUUAUCCGGAUUUACUGGGCGUAAAGCGCCCGUAGGCGGCCUGACAAGUUGGACGUGAAAGCUCCUGGCUUAACUGGGAGAGGCCGUUCAAAACUGUCAAGCUAGAGUCUGGAAGAGGAGAGCGGAAUUCCCGGUGUAGUGGUGGAAUGCGUAGAUAUCAGGAAGAACACCCGUGGCGAAGGCGGCUCUCUGGGACGGUACUGACGCUGAGACGCGAAAGCGUGGGGAGCGAACAGG
rnacentral:rRNA from 1 species